rnacentral:rRNA from 1 species
UACGUAGGGGGCAAGCGUUGUCCGGAUUUAUUGGGCGUAAAGCGCUCGCAGGUGGUUCGUUGCGUCGUGCGUGAAAGACCCCGGCUCAACUGGGGAGGGUCGUGCGAUACGGGCGAACUGGAGGCCAGUAGGGGGAUGCGGAAUUCCGGGUGUAGUGGUGGAAUGCGUAGAGAUCCGGAGGAACACCAGCGGCGAAGGCGGCAUCCUGGACUGGUCCUGAUACUCAUGAGCGAAAGCGUGGGGAGCGAUCCGG